UUCUUAUCAAGAGAGGUGGAGGGAACAGGCCCUGCGAAACCUCAGCAACCUUCAUGAACAACACUUCAUGAAAAGGUGCUAACUCCAGCUUGCACCCCUAAACGUGCAAGGAAGAUAAGGA
rnacentral:ncRNA from 1 species